rnacentral:misc_RNA from 1 species
CGCAGCCGCGGUAAUUCCAGCUCCAAUAGCGUAUAUUAAAGUUGCUGCAGUUAAAAAGCUCGUAGUUGAAUUUCGGGACUAAUAUGUCGGUCGUGCCUCGGUACGUACUGGCUUAUUGGUUUCUCCUUUCUGAAGAACCAUGAUGUCAUUUAUUUGGUGUCGUGGGGAAUCAGGACUGUUACUUUGAAAAAUUAGAGUGUUUAAAGCAGGCUCACGCUUGAAUACAUUAGCAUGGAAUAAUGAAAUAGGACGUUUGAUUCUAUUUUGUUGGUUUCUAGGAUCGACGUAAUGAUUAAUAGGGAUAGUUGGGGGCAUUAGUAUUCAAUUGUCAGAGGUGAAAUUCUUGGAUUUAUUGAAGACUAACUACUGCGAAAGCAUUUGCCAAGGAUGUUUUCAUUAAUCAAGAACGAAAGUUAGGGGAUCGAAGACGAUCAGAUACCGUCGUAGUCUUAACCAUAAACUAUGCCGACUAGGGAUCGGAUGAUGUUAAUUUUUAAUGACUCAUUCGGCGCCUUACGGG